AUUUAGAAAUAGAACGGGCUGACCGGCCGAGCUCCGCCGCCCACCGCCUACAUAGCAAAAUGUAAACGUGCGCCCACCUAUCUAUAUACACUUGCAUGUCUCUCCUCCUUAUUCCAAAUAAAAUAUUUAACUGUUUGCUUCCGGGCCCGUACUUACCACAUCCCGCUUAACAAGUUUAACUUCAUUAUGAAAAAAAGAGACGAUCCAAAUUGUACACGAUGUGAGAGAAAAGAGGACCUCCUACACUUAGUUCUCGAGGGUAAAAUCAACGAACAAGUUAGGUUGAAGUUCUUAAAUGAAACUCGAUGCUCUACUGGUGAGUUUCUCUUCUUUCUCCAUCGAAUCUUAAGUUCAGGGUUCACUGCCGAAUAUAGUGAUAGAUUUGUAGGUUUCAUGAUACACUCAUUGAAUUUGAGAUAUGACUAUUAUAAAAAUACUCAUUAAGUUGCAACCCCAACUGUUAACGUAACGCCUAGAGUAUAAGCAUCAUUGUUAUUAUUUUUAAGUCGACUUAAUCACUUGAUGUAUGGCUUAUUAAAUAAAUAAGAUUAAAAAAAA